GGGGGAACCCUAAUUGCAUCAAUCAACCUCAAAAAUUCAGCAAGAUUGUGAAGGAUUAGAGUCAUAAUUCGCAUGCUAGUGUCUAAAUACUCUCUAAUCCAAGUGUUUUGAACAUAAGGAUCGAAAGAAGAAGGAGCUAGUUCCGGAUCACAAACAAAGGCACAAGAUCGAGGAUCGAAAGAAGAAGGAGCUAGUUCCGGAUCACAAACAAAGGCACAAGAUCGAGGUAAAGCACCCGUAUGAUGGUCAUUGCGUCGCUCGGAUACGAACACACCUUGAUCACCCGUGAUGCGCUUCCGCACUUUUGUAGUAGCCUUAUUAGUCAAAGACUUUUG